CUUUUACCAAUCAAUGGGUAUCAACAGCUCCUCUGAUUAAGCACAGGCGUCACUUCAGUGCAGCUGUUUGUGAAGGGAGAAUCUUUGCUGUGGGUGGCUGGUAUCUGGAUUCCCUUGUGACUCCCGACUCCAGUACAGGCGUCUACACUGCUGUGGAGAGGUACGAUCCAUGGAUAGACGCCUGGGAAUUUGUUUCAUCUCUUCCUCUGACAGACUUCCAGUUCAGCCUGUCCCUUUCCCAUGAUUCCCCACUCACAACCAGCCUGGGACACUGCCUCUAUGUACUGGGAAACAUCCAGAGAACUGGAGAAAAACUUGUGCUGCGUUACGAUACUACACAAGAUUGCUGGUGUGAACUGCUC